GAUACAGGAACAAAUAUUCAGUUCCACCAUAUGACCAUAUUGUGUUAAUCCCACCACUAUGUCACAGUACAUCAAUAUUGGUGGGUCCUACAUAAAUUUUAAAACGGGAGAUAUACAUGUUAACUUGCAAUACUUACAGCUUAAACAGCUAUCAGAGACUCCUCAAUUUAAGCUUUCCUGUGGUCACCUCCAAAGGGGAACCCAUAGUGGAUGGAUGGGAC